AGAGUCUAUGCAUGACAUGGAAUGUAUUGGUUUUACUACGUGUUUUAUUUUCCUUAUGUCUGUGAACAACUUUUCUCUCAGAAAUCUUGGUCCAACCGUAAUAUGUAGCAUCUUUUUCAAAAAUAAAUUUUGUCUUGUUAUUUAGUUUCAACUCUACUCAUAGGACAUGCACAUAUUUAUAGGAAGGUGAAGAAUCUGUAAGGGAAACCGCUGCAUUAUCCUCUGUUUUUCCCCGUAAAACGAGUACAAAUAGUACUG